rnacentral:rRNA from 1 species
UUUUGUAUGUACCUUAUGAAUAAGCAUCGGCUAACUCCGUGCCAGCAGCCGCGGUAAUACGGAGGAUGCGAGCGUUAUCCGGAUUUAUUGGGUUUAAAGGGAGCGCAGACGGGUCGUUAAGUCAGCUGUGAAAGUUUGGGGCUCAACCUUAAAAUUGCAGUUGAUACUGGCGUCCUUGAGUGCGGUUGAGGUGUGCGGAAUUCGUGGUGUAGCGGUGAAAUGCUUAGAUAUCACGAAGAACUCCGAUUGCGAAGGCAGCUUGCUGGACUGUAACUGACGCUGAUGCUCGAAAGUGUGGGUAUCAAACAGGAUUAGAUACCCUGGUAGUCCACACAGUAAACGAUGAAUACUCGCUGUUUGCGAUAUACAGUAAGCGGCCAAGCGAAAGCGUUAAGUAUUCCACCUGGGGAGUACGCCGGCAACGGUGAAACUCAAAGGAAUUGACGGGGGCCCGCACAAGCGGAGGAACAUGUGGUUUAAUUCGAUGAUACGCGAGGAACCUUACCCGGGCUUAAAUUGCAAAGGAAUAAUCUGGAAACAGAUUAGUCUUCGGACCUUUGUGAAGGUGCUGCAUGGUUGUCGUCAGCUCGUGCCGUGAGGUGUCGGCUUAAGUGCCAUAACGAGCGCAACCCUUACCGAUAGUUGCCAUCAGGUAACGCUGGGGACUCUAGCGGGACUGCCGUCGUAAGAUGUGAGGAAGGUGGGGAUGACGUCAAAUCAGCACGGCCCUUACGUCCGGGGCUACACACGUGUUACAAUGGGCGGUACAGAAGGCAGCUACCUGGCGACAGGAUGCCAAUCCCUAAAGCCGCUCUCAGUUCGGACUGGAGUCUGCAACCCGACUCCACGAAGCUGGAUUCGCUAGUAAUCGCGCAUCAGCCACGGCGCGGUGAAUACGUUCCCGGGCCUUGUACACACCGCCCGUCAAGCCAUGAAAGCCGGGGGUACCUGAAGUGCGUAACCGCAAGGAGCGCCCUAGGGUAAAACCGGUAAUUGGGGCUAAGUCGUAACAAGGUAGCCGUACCGGAAGGUGCGGCUG